rnacentral:rRNA from 1 species
AACGAACGCUGGCGGCAGGCCUAACACAUGCAAGUCGAGCGCGCCUUCGGGUUAGCGGCGGACGGGUGAGUAACGCGUGGGAAUAUGCCCUUCUCUACGGAAUAGUCCUGGGAAACUGGGGGUAAUACCGUAUACGCCCUUUGGGGGAAAGAUUUAUCGGGGAAGGAUUAGCCCGCGUUGGAUUAGGUAGUUGGUGGGGUAAUGGCCUACCAAGCCGACGAUCCAUAGCUGGUUUGAGAGGAUGAUCAGCCACACUGGGACUGAGACACGGCCCAGACUCCUACGGGAGGCAGCAGUGGGGAAUCUUAGACAAUGGGGGCAACCCUGAUCUAGCCAUGCCGCGUGAGUGAUGAAGGCCUUAGGGUUGUAAAGCUCUUUCAGCUGGGAAGAUAAUGACGGUACCAGCAGAAGAAGCCCCGGCUAACUCCGUG